UACAGAAUGAUCUAUCCCUACCCCACCUCUUUCCCUCUCCAAGUCUGAGAACUGCUGGGAAGAAGAGGAGAUGAAGCCAGGAACCACUGACUCUCCAGAGCAUGAUCCCUGACUGGCCUCACAGAUAUGAGAAGUCACUGUCAGGGACCGACUCCAGCGGACACACAGAGCCUGCAUGGAAUGUUACCUGGUACAAGGAUUAUUUGCCAUCUGAAACAGAAAAACAGCAGGGAGAGAAUCAGACUAAGUCACCCUUCACAAAACCCCUGUGAAACUACAUUAUCAAAGGAAAACAUCCUUGGUCUUUCAUGGAUUUAAGGCAGUAAUGGAGCAGCAUCUCCAAAUAUAGGGGAGAAAAGAGUUCAACACAAAAGAAAACCAAAAAAGAUGAAACCCAUUGGUUCUUGAAAUGACUGCUGCUUUUGAUUAAUAUUGUUUUAAUAAUGAUGGAGCUGGACACUACUGAGGCACCAAAAAGUCACCAGACAACCCACAGAUACCUCAAAGAGAGAGUAAAACAUGUGGCCAAUGAUAUCAAUGAGUGAAGGCAUCUCUAUUAUAGCAGUGCCAUUCAUGCUAUUAGAGAUCAUAUGUCGGUGUCACCUCUGCAUCUAGGAGUCAUUAAGGCUAUAAAAUAUUGCUCUGAAACAAUCUUUGAAAUAAAAGGUAGCCGUGCAGGAGGAGCUGAUUUUACAAAAUGCUGAAUGAAACUCUGUUUUCCCUUGGUAAAUAUGUUGUUUCACAUCUCUUGUCCCUUCACAUACAUUCUUCUGACCACCUAACUAAAAUAAAGGAUGAGCAUAUACUUUGUUCAGAAUAAAGUUUGUCUGUAUAUUAACAGGUGGAGGGUGCUUCUAUCUUUCCCUUGUUUCCUUAUUGUGUCAAACAAUAAACCACAGGCCAACCUUUUUCAUUCAUAACCUUAAAAUUCCCAUUGUUUCAAUAAUUCUCUCUUUCUCAACAAUACCAGUCUAUACAGUAUCUAAUAAAAUCCCUCAGCGGACGCUAUCGCAUCUAUCCCUAACCUAUCUGCCUAUUACAAAUUAUAUGAAAAAAGUAAUGCAUAAUUAAAGUUUGUUUUUUAAAAUUUUCUCACUCUCUUGCAACUAAAAUAGUUUAAAAGAAACCAACCACCUGUGUAAGUGACUAGUCAAUAACAAAUUAUGCCAUUCAUAUCCAUAACAAGUAAGAUUUUAGGAAACACAUGCUGUUAGGUACAAGAGAAUACUUUGAUGUGGUAGUCACUUUCAAUCAAUAUAAAAACCCCUAGAGUCAGAGGAAUAAAGUAUUACAUACCCUGUGGCUAAGAAACAUUGUAAGGAAGAAACAGACAGGCAAACAGCGUAUUCACAUAUAAAAUACAGGAUUGACUUUCCUUGUUCCAGAAAUCUGUAUAAGCCUAAAUUUUCCCUUGUAUUUUAAGAAAUGAGUGUAGGACUAAACUGUUGCACCUCAAGUCAUCAUCUGAGAAGAAGAACCAUUCAAACAAAAGGAAAGUCACUGCCUCUGUCAUCCCCACAGCUUGUUAUUCCACAUAAACUCACUCUCAUGGCAGGCACUCUUAUAAUAAAAGGCACAAACAGAAACAAAUCUAUGAUUAUUGUAUCAAUACCAGACUGAUUUCUUUGUGAUAUUUUUCCAAAACAACAGGACAAUAUACUUUUGCGUGUGCGCAACUUUACCAUCACUAAGAACCAGCAUGAACUUCUAGUAGGUCACAUCAAAGGCGCCUCUUUUCGAACAUGAACAAGGCCACAUUUCAUGAGAAAUCUUUGAAACCUGAGUGUUAUUUUAAUUGCUGUUUGUUGAACCUCCUUCAACAACAAUUACUUUUCUUUCCCAUAUAUACCAGCACUAAUCUGAGUUAUAACCAAAGCCUAAUAAAACUAGAAUAACUGCAUCUUUUCCUGCAUUGAGCUGAUAGAUUUAGAGAUUUUUCUGUAAUAAUUUCCAAUAUCAGUCCUGCUGUGGUAGGCAUUAUAGCAGACACAUCUUUCUGUUUAGUAAAUAUCUCUUCCUUUGUUCUUACUCCAUGUUCAUUACCACCAAACUGCAUUCACAUGUGACCGUGUCUGUAACGGGCCAAAUUCUGCCUUCAGAUAUGUGUUUACAACUCCUAUUAAAGUCAAUAAGAGUUGCACCCAUGUACUUUAAGACAGAAUUUGGCUAAUUGGUACUAAUUGUUUUUUCCUUUGACUGAACCAUUCCUGACCUGACUACUUAUUUACAACUCCAGUACAACCAUGAAGUACCAUUACCUGCAUCAUUUAAUAAUAAGCAGCCAAAGUUCCAAUACUGGUCCUUUAGGACUUCAACAGAAACUUCAUUCAAGCAUUUAAAAAGUUUGAAGUCUGACUUCAUAAUUCCUCUGGCUAAUAAGAUGUCUUUCUAUAUACUACAAAUAUUUCCAUAUAUAGUUCAAAAUGUAUAACUUAGUCACCACACUCUUAGAAAAUCUCAGACCUAGCUGGAGGGCAUACAGUAUCUCUUUUGAUUCCCUGAAGACUUUCCAUAAAAGACACACACCUCUGCUUUCAGAACACUUCCAUUUUCUUUCCUUGAGUAUGCUCAGCUUUUUCAAAUAACUCUUACAAUGUAGAUUCUUAAGAUGUUCUCCAGAGUUGGUGUUAAUUCAACAGAUCUGUAAAUCCUUGGUAUAAAUUUAGGCCCCUUGUAAAUAUUUUACAUUGCACAAAGUCAUUCCAGCAAUAUGAGCAACAGCAGGAAGAUUUCCUAGAAUGGGGUUAAUAAGUUAAUUUGAAUAUUAUUUAAAAUAUUAAAAGUUGUGACCAUAAAUGUAGCUCUCAGAGAGGUACAGCAAGCACUCUGAAAUAUGUUUAAUUUCAAUCAUCCCAUUGUAUUAGGAAAGUGCUGGAAGCCUCAUCACUGGCAUACUUUAAAACUAGAUUGGACAAAGCCAUUGACACUAUCUGGAACAACCCUACAUUGGGAGGGGGGAUAUGCAAAUCACCUAAUAGUUAUUUUCCAUCUUUCCUUGAGUAUGCUUUGUGAUAAUGUUAUGAUUCAGAUAGCUCCUUCUAUACCUGAAGCACAUCAGGCUGUGAUCCAGUCUGAUCUCACAAACAAAGAUGGGUUGAACCUAGCUAGGAAAUGUAUGGAAGUCCACAGGAAACACAUGCUACAGGAAGCAGUGUUGGAGACUCAAUAGUCUACACUCUGCCUUCUAAGGCAGUGCUGAAUCAAUGCCUCAGUAAGAUGAUGAGUCCACAGUGUGACUGCAUGGAGAUGUCAUAUUUUGGAUGAGAUACCUAAUUUUUGACCACUUGUAUCGUUAAAGAUUCCAUGGCAUUUUUCACAAGACUAGAGAUAUUCGCCCUGGUGGCUUGGCCAGUUGAAGCGGAGUAAUUUAUGUUCUGCUUACAUAAAAAUCUCCCUUAUUUCAGUUUGUUAAAGUAUUCUUCCCUUUCAGUAGUGCACUAGUGUCACUGUCUGCCAUUGUAAAGUUACAGACUUCCACACUACAGGUAGCUGUAUUUCAGUGGUAAGUGAAAUGAUUCAUAAACCAUGUAAUUCCUCUAAAUAGUUGUUCAUUCUUUUAAUAGAGUACUUGGAAAUUCCAAGUUCUCUAUCAGUCUGGAGUCUCUGGAUUUAGUCAGAAUCAUAUCUGUCCAAAUAAUACAAUUACAAUACAUUCUUUUUGGCACCUUGUAUUUCUUUUAAUAGAGAUUUUUUUUUCUGAGUUUUCUAAAUAAUGUGGGAAGGCAACAUCACACAUUAAAAUGGAAGGAAACAGGUUGAGAUCAAAAGAAAAUGCUGAAAACAUUUCUGAAAAGAAAACAACCGCUGAACAAGAAGAACCUAUUAGUCUAUAAGCACAUUGUGAAACUAGGUAAAAACUUUGAUCUGUUCACAAGUAAAAGUUUAUUUUCUUGUAGAAAUUAUAUACCAUGAAUCAAAGAACAGCUGACAUGUCUGAAAUAAAUGGGCACAUUCCCUAUGCUCAGUGUCCCAGUUUGUCUUACUGAAUAAUUCAUGUUUAAACUAGUUUCCAAUUAAGCUUGUUUCUUUUUACUCUUCGGGCAUCUUUGAAGCUAUAAGAAAACUGCCUCUCUAGUUUCGCCUCCAAAGCAAACCCAGGAACAGGUAUGUGACUACAGAGAAUCUGCAGCGACUUCCAGGCAUGGUACUGCUUGAGACCAUGCCUAUUGCAACCCAGGAAUACAGUUUCAAUAUUCAUCUCCCUUAACCAUUGACUUUGUGAUUCGUAGGAGAUUUAAAUUCUUCACAUGUUUCACCCAUCCCCUUUAUAAUCAGUUCCAGACCCCAAAUGAGUUACGAUAGAAAUGUUCACACCGUCACGUGCAGACUUGCCAUUUCCAUUCUGCUCUUUUAAAAUCUAUCUCCUAUACUAUGCCCAUAGAGAUCUUCAGUUUGUAAGCUAUCAGCUUCACAGGCAGAACUAAGCAGCAAACAGAACACUACUUCUGGUGAGGGACAGAUGGAGGCCUUUGAGCAGCUCAUUUGGGACUGGCUGUCAGGAAGUCACAUGACAGUCUUUCACAAUCAGGGAAUGCAUGGAUCUGUAACUACUGGGAAUGCUUAAAGAAAUAACUGCACAUGAAAACAGAGGAUUAGUCCGACACACAAAAAACACUAGACAAGGUGCUAGGUAGGAGAGAUGCACAGAACUAAAGAACUAUAACAAAGAACUAAAGGGUGUUCAUGAUGCUAAAACUAACUAGUAUAAAUGGGAGCCUGUGGUUUUAUAUAAAAAGAGAUUGAGUCACAUCGGAACUCAGGAGACAGCAAACAGAGAGAAAGACUGCAUCACGUUUUUUCUUUGAUCGUUAGUAGCUACACUAAAACAGGAAAGAGAGCCAUAAAAGAAAGGUUUAGCUAGCCAAAGAGAAAAAGAUAGUGAGUCAAUGAACUGUGAGGCAGCAAUCUUAGAGAUUAGAGAAUUGUUUUUUUAAGAAGUGAAGGGAUUAAUAAUAACAGAGCCUGUGAAGGAUGACAUUUAAAGAGCCUGAAAAGAUGAAGGGAGAGAGACAAAACUAUCUAUAAACCAAUCUAUGAAUUUAUCCAUGAACCACUUACAGGAAAACUGUACAAAAACCUCUAUAUCUCCCCCCAUGAAACAAUCCCCUACUUGCACGGUCAUUUUGCCUAUGGAUUAGAAAAUUUACAAGACGAAAGACUUGACCAGGCAGGCAUUUUAGAAAAGAUUAUAGAACUAAGUAUCAGAUGAGAGCAUAUGAAUGGUAUUGUUCUCCCACAGGGUGUGGGACAAUAACAAGGGCCUGCAGAAGUGGAGCAAGUACAUCAUCUUCCUUCCUGACACCCAGCUAGACUUGAUCAGUGAGCCAUUCUCAGGAGAAGUUGUCACUGGCUUGCCAGCCUGCAUAAUCACAUGCCUAUCGGUUAGCAAACAUCUGAGCACAUACCUCAGCUAAAGGAACCACCACUAUGUCACCUGUAGCAACCAAAAAGUGGGAGUGCGUUAACAGAAUUUGCAGAUGACUAAAUUGGGAGGUAUUGCCAAUACAGAGGAGGACUGGAAUAUCAUACAAAAGAAGAACAGAAAUGGGAUGAAAUUUAAUAAUUUGAAGUGAAUGGUCAUGAAUUUAGAGAUUAACAACAAGAAUUUUUCCUAUAAGCUGGGGACUUAUCAGUUGGAAGCAACAGAGGAGGAGAAAGACCUGGUGUAUUAGUCAAUCAUAGGAUGACUAUGAGCCACCAACAUGAAGCAGCCACGAAAAAGGCCAAUGCAAUCCUAGGAUCCAUUAGGCGAGGUAUUUCCAGUAGAGAAAGGGAAAAGUUAUUACCAUUGUACAAGACAUUGGUGGGACCUGAUCUGGAAUACUAUGCACAGUUCUGAUCUUCCAUAUUCAAAAAGGAUGAAUUCAAAGGGUGAUCCAAGGAAUGGAGAACCUGCUUAACAAGAGGAGACCUAAGGAUCUUGGCUUGUUUAGCCUAACCAAACGAAGGCUGAGGGGAGAUGUGAGUGCGCUCUAUAAAUACAUCAGAGAAAUAAACACCAUGGACGGAGAGGAGUUAUUUAAAUUAAGGGCCAAUGUUGGCACAAGAACAAAUGGAUAUAAACUGGCUAUCAAUAAAUUUAGGUUUGAAAUUAGACAGUUUUCUAACCAUCUGUGACAUUCCCCUCUGGUGUUAUCUGGACCAGUGAUCUGCUAGGUCACUCCAAUCCUUGACUCUGGAAGCCAGCCUUACCCUGCUCUGCUGUGAGAACCCCCACUCCUGGGCUGUUCACACACAGCCUCUAGCAUAUAAGCUGCUCCCAGCUACUUGCAACUGAAUGACACUAGCCAAUAUCUCCGGUCCCAGACACAACCCUAGGAGCCUCUGUCUUGCAGUGUCCAGUUAUGCCCAUUGGACGCUGCAAGCUCACAUGAGUUAAUCAAUUUAACAGAGAAAUUGAUAUGUACCAGGCUUGUUAUCCCAAAGGGAGCCUCUGACUCACUUCAAACCAAACACACUGCUUCAGGUAGAAUAAACAAACAAAUGUAUUAACUGUAAAGAUAGAUCUUAAGUGAUUAUAAGUCAAAACAUAACAAGUCAGAUUUGGACAAAUGAAAUAAAAGUAAAACGCAUUCUAAGCUGAUCUUAACACUUUCAAUGCCCUUACAAACUUAGAUGCU